CACGUAGGGGGCAAGCGUUGUCCGGAUUUAUUGGGCGUAAAGAGCUCGUAGGCGGCUUAGUAAGUCGGGUGUGAAACCUCCAGGCUCAACCUGGAGACGCCACCCGAUACUGCUGUGGCUAGAGUCCGGUAGGGGAGCGUGGAAUUCCUGGUGUAGCGGUGAAAUGCGCAGAUAUCAGGAGGAACACCAGCGGCGAAGGCGGCGCUCUGGGCCGGUACUGAAGCUGAGGAGCGAAAGCGUGGGGAGCAAACAGG
rnacentral:rRNA from 1 species